UACGUAGGGGGCGAGCGUUGUCCGGAGUUACUGGGCGUAAAGGGCAUGCAGGCGGUCGGACGCGUUUCGGGUGACAGCGGGUGGCUUAACUACCCGAGUGGUCGAAAGACGGUUUGACUUGAGGACGCGAGAGGGACACGGAAUUCCGGGUGGAGUGGUGAAAUGCGUAGAGAUCCGGAGGAACACCGAAGGCGAAGGCAGUGUCCUGGCGCGGUAACUGACGCUGAGGUGCGAAAGCCAGGGGAGCAAACGGGG
rnacentral:rRNA from 1 species